UUUUUUUUUUUUUAAUUAUUUAAGACCUUUAUUAACAGGUGCUUGCAGUUUGUUGACUUUUUUGAAAAAAUCAAGUUGUAAACUUUUAUUACAAAUUAAAAAUGAAGUUCUUAAAAAUCUCAACUUGACCAGAUACGAAACAAUUUAAAAACCUUUAAAGGCGUAUUGAGAUUUCCAGGCUUUUUUAAAAAACACGUUUGUUAUUACCAAAAAGAGACGUCUUUAGGUAAAAAUAAUAAAAACCCCAUGCUGCAUAGAUAAUGCAGAUAGUUCUAUUUAUCUGGUCAACGGGCAAAAAGCAAGCACUUAAGGUCUUCAGCGCCAAUCUUUUGUUCAUUUCUUAUUGCUGGAAUUUCAUAUUUCUUCUUGUUGAUGACUAAACCGGAUGAUGGUAGAGAUGGUAAGCCGGCAUUUACUCAGCCCCGCCCUGCUCAGCCUCCGGAGCGGACUAAUUCUCAGCUGGUGGAUCGGCUGCUUUUGUCUCUUUGCCAUCUUGUGGUUUAGGGUUUUCUGGGCGUCUGCGUGGGUAAUUGAAGUUGCGGCGGUACCGACCUUGAGGUGGCUGCUGACCUUGGGUCUCAUCUCCUUGAUUUUCUUUAUCUUCUUCAUUGCCGUCCUCUCUAGGCUGUCUUUGGCCAGGAGGGCCCCUGCGGAAUCGUGGUCUAUAUCCCCAUACAUAUUGUGCCUCACUGGUCUCCCUUGUUCUCCUGCACCCUGGUUGUCAGCACCCUCCAUCACUUCUCCCUGCACAGGAGGGUUGGAAUACUGUGGUUGACGCCCACAGGGUCUCCGCAUGUAGUAAGGUGGGAACCUUCGCCUGCGGUAGGGCCGGCGUUGUUGGGCCUGGCCUUCGGGAGCACUCUCCGAUCCCUCGUUCUUUUCCCCACUCUCACUAUUCUGGUAAUUUUGCUGGUAAUUGCGUGGAGGACCCCUAGGACGUGGAUAGCGUCUAUAAUGGUUACGUCUGCUGCAUAUUUACUGCCUUGAACUGGAACACCACCAGGACCUGUAACAUUUGCUGCCUCCGCACCCUUUUCUCCUUCAACAACAUCAAACUCCACAGUCUCUCCAUCUACACUGCGAAGGUACUUCCUGGGGUUAUUCUUCUUUAUGGCAGUCUGGUGUACAAAUACAUCUUCCUUGGUGUCAUUCCUGUUGAUGAAACCAUAUCCGUUCCUUACAUUGAACCAUUUUACUGUUCCCAAAACCUUCAUUGCGAUGACCUUCUUG
rnacentral:lncRNA from 1 species